AGUCGAGCGGUAACAGGAAUUAGCUUGCUAAUUUGCUGACGAGCGGCGGACGGGUGAGUAACGCGUAGGAAUCUGCCUGGUAGUGGGGGACAACAUGUGGAAACGCAUGCUAAUACCGCAUACGCCCUACGGGGGAAAGGAGGGGAUCUUCGGACCUUUCGCUAUCAGAUGAGCCUGCGUGAGAUUAGCUAGUUGGUGGGGUAAAGGCUCACCUAGGCAACGAUCCGUAACUGGUCUGAGAGGAUGAUCAGUCACACUGGAACUGAGACACGGUCCAGACUCCUACGGGAGGCAGCAGUGGGGAAUAUUGGACAAUGGGCGAAAGCCUGAUCCAGCCAUGCCGCGUGUGUGAAGAAGGUCUUCGGAUUGUAAAGCACUUUAAGUUGGGAGGAAGGGUUGUAGCUUAAUACGCUGCAACUUUGACGUUACCAACAGAAUAAGCACCGGCUAACUCUGUGCCAGCAGCCGCGGUAAUACAGAGGGUGCAAGCGUUAAUCGGAAUUACUGGGC
rnacentral:rRNA from 1 species